rnacentral:lncRNA from 1 species
GCUGCUGGGUUCGAAGAUGAUAAAGUGAAACCCUAGAAAGGGGUUUUUAAACGCAAAAUCAUACUGUCGGAUCUGCACAGAGGCGGCCGCCGCCGUGUAACGGCGCCGCCGUGAGGGCCUUUCGCAGAAUGGGCACGGCGGCCGCCGUCCCACGGCGCCCGCCGUCUACUGCAAUGCGCAGCGGUUUUGUUUUGGCCUGUUCUCCCUCGUUUCAAGUCGGAUUUUGGAUCCGUUUUCGCCUACGAACUCGUAUCGAGACAAACUUCGAUUCUUAUUCAAACCAAUCAACUAAAUUCUGACUUUAUUUUUGUCCACAUAUCAAUCAAUUUGAGCACAAAAUCCUGAGACAACAAAAUUAGCACAAAAGCUCAAAUCAUUCAACUCUUAAGUGAAAGAGACCAAAAUAAAAGUCAAUAUAAGACGUAAAUACCCAGAGAUUCAUCACAAAAUAGG